rnacentral:rRNA from 1 species
UGAGGAAUAUUGGUCAAUGGGCGGGAGCCUGAACCAGCCAAGUCGCGUGAAGGAAGAAGGAUCUAUGGUUCGUAAACUUCUUUUGCAGGGGAAUAAAGUGCAGGACGUGUCCUGUUUUGUAUGUACCCUGAGAAUAAGGAUCGGCUAACUCCGUGCCAGCAGCCGCGGUAAUACGGAGGAUCCGAGCGUUAUCCGGAUUGAUUGGGUUUAAAGGGUGCGUAGGUGGUUUGAUAAGUCAGCGGUGAAAGUUUGCAGCUUAACUGUAAAAAUGCCGUUGAAACUGUCUGACUUGAGUGUAAAUGAGNUAGGCGGAAUGCGUGGUGUAGCGGUGAAAUGCAUAGAUGUCACGCAGAACUCCGAUUGCGAAGGCAGCUUACUAAGCUACAACUGACACUGAAGCACGAAAGCGUGG